rnacentral:lncRNA from 1 species
GCCUGGGAGGCAGGGUGGUGAAGGAGCUAAGUAAAUGGGCUCUGGGAUCACACCACCUGGGUCCAUUUUGAGCUCUGCCUGUUAGGUCGGGGUAGGUUCAACCCCUGUAGCACAAACACCAGAUGCAUCCUGGGAAAUACUGUUCUCUUUAAAACUGCAGGAGUGGCCCCCGUUGAGAUGGAGGUUGAACAAGCAUUUCCCUAGAGUCCUGUGGUCCAUAGCAUUGUCUGCUAAGAUGCUGGGCUGUCCUGGAGCUGCGGCUGGAGUCAGGUUCAAAUGCAGCACCCGGCAGCACACUACACAGAGACGGUGUCUCACUCUGUCAGCCCAGGCUGGAGUGAAGUGGCGCAAUCUUGGCUCACUGCAGCCUCCGUCUCCUGAAUUCAAGCAAUUCUCCUGCCUCAGCCUCCCAAGAAGCUCAGAUUACAGGGCAGAUAAAGCCUGAGGAUGCUGCAACCAUCUUACAACUGUGAGGGGAGAGCCUUUCUGAUAAUAGAAUCAACACAGUAGAAUAUAGGCUUCAUGGUUGGAGUUUCAGCGGCCAUCUUGGACCAUGAGGUGACCUUGGGAAUGGAAACCAUAGAAGAUGCCUAGGUUUCUGCCACCAUGAACGCUAUUCCAGUUUUGGACUAUUUUUUAUCAUUUGAAAGUGAGAAGUAAAUGUCUAUUACAUUUAA